rnacentral:rRNA from 1 species
GGGGCAGCAUAAUGGAUAGCAAUAUCUAUGGUGGCGACCGGCGCACGGGUGCGUAACGCGUAUGCAACCUACCUUUAACAGGGGGAUAACACUGAGAAAUUGGUACUAAUACCCCAUAAUAUCAUAGAAGGCAUCUUUUAUGGUUGAAAAUUCCGAUGGUUAGAGAUGGGCAUGCGUUGUAUUAGCUAGUUGGUGGGGUAACGGCUCACCAAGGCGACGAUACAUAGGGGGACUGAGAGGUUAACCCCCCACACUGGUACUGAGACACGGACCAGACUCCUACGGGAGGCAGCAGUGAGGAAUAUUGGUCAAUGGACGCAAGUCUGAACCAGCCAUGCCGCGUGCAGGAUGACGGCUCUAUGAGUUGUAAACUGCUUUUGUACGAGGGUAAACGCAGAUACGUGUAUCUG